rnacentral:lncRNA from 1 species
UGUGGUUCAAAUACUUAUUUAAACUUUUAUGAUAGUUUGCAAAUUUAUCUAAUUUUAUUUCUUGAUUUCUUUUUAGGAUCAAAAAGUUCAAGAAAUGGAAAGAAAAAGAAGAGAAACGUAAAAGGAAGGAAUUAAUGAGAGAAAUGGAUAAGCACGAAAGGAGACAGUAUAAGAAGUCUUUAGCUGAAACUCCGAAAACCAAGGAACAACUACUUAGGGAGAAAUUAAUUGCAAAUUCAAAUCAAAUGAAGAAAAGCGUGUAGAAGCUCAGAAAACAAAACCUAAAGGUAAAUAUCAAUUUUUUUCUCAUGCUAACAUCUAAUUUUUAAGAAUAAUAUUACAAUUACAUGUCUACAUCUAUAUUCCAUUCUUUUU